UUCUGAGAGAAAGUCCAACCAGGUUCUUAACGUUGCGCUCAUGAAUCCAUAUGACGACUGGAGCUCGAUUCUAAAAUCUUUAAUAAAAGGCCCAGAAGAUCUUUUUGCUCUGAAACAUCUGAGGAGAUUUCAUUCAGCCAACAACGUGAAGACCUGAAGGCUGCAGCUCUGCAGGACCAGAACCUGACCCAACAAAACCUGGCUGUGUGAUGAAUGCUCCUGUUUGCUCUGUUGCAUCUCGUAGCGUCUCUAAAGCUACUAGACUAAUCCCAGCAGCUACUACUAAUCUCACUACUACUACAGCGCUGCAGCUGCUUCCUGGCAGCAGGGAAACCAUCAGAUUAAAACUGGUUUCUAAUCUGCUUCUGCACAGCAACUCGGAAAUGGACAAACUUCAGGAAGUCGGAGCUGCAGUCAGCUUUCAACUUUCCCCACUUCAUCACAUAAACAGGACAAGGAACCAACUGAGAACAGACCUCAGCGUUAAACUGGAAGUGGGACCAGUAUGAUAACUGUGUUGAGUGAAGUCCAGGGUUCUGUGACCUGGGUCGUCUCUGAACGAUGGUUCUGAUGGACCAGGUGGCUGAGACAUGGCGGUCCAAACAGAACAGGGUUCAUUGCUUCACCUAAAAUCACUAUUUGUUGAGGAAAUUAAAGUUUUCUGUAAUUUCUCACAUUAAUCCAAAUCCAGCUGCACAUUUCUAUUGACUCUAUUGAAAACUGAGGCAAAGCAGAACAAUAAUUAACUUCUAAUUAAUUGAACUAAAAACCCAGAAACCUUGUUGAGGGAAGAGUUUUGGUGUUGCCUCCUGAAGUGAAGCAGCUGCUGCUGGCGUUGGCAGAGACCAGGAUGAAUAAUUGAAAAUGUUUCUGUCAGGUUUUAUUACCUGUCAGACGCAGAUUCCUGUUUACUCUGGAAACAAACAUUUGAUUCGUCUGCAGCUCUUCUUCUGUGACACUUUAAGCUCAAGUGGCAUCAGCUUUGGGACUUAUUGGAUUUGUUGCAAAAGCAUGAAAGUGCAUUGAAGUGAGGCUUUAAGUAUUCAUUAGUUCCUGCUGAGCCUGACGGCAGAGGAGGAACCCAGUGCGACCAGUAAGGGCUGCUGGGGAAGCCAUGCUGGAGCUGAGGCCGGUACCGGCCCAGCGGGGGAGCGGAGGCCGUGACAGUUGCUCCCAGAAAGCCACUAACAGGAUGACGCCUGCCUGCAGGACCACGGGGUGAAGCAGGAUUACGUCUGAGCAGUAGAUAAACUGAUUAUUCCAGAACCACCGGCCACUCGUUUAACCUCAUCACUCCUGCCACACGUCCGGCUCUGAGAGCGGAACGACGCUCUGCUCCUGGAUUCACCUGCUGGCUCUUCACCCGCGCUCCGACUGGUCUCCCUCCACGUCCGGCGAACGGCUCCCAUGAACUUCCUCUGAUCGAGAUUGCCGCGUCGUUUCUGGUCACGUUUCAGAGGCUCAUCGGCGCCACCAUGCUUCAGGCUGCUGGACUCCUGCUGCUGCUGGCCGUCACGUCACCAGCAGCUGGAAUCAGAGGCGGUGGCGCGGCGGCACAUAGCGAGGAGUCUGGAGGAUCGCUGCGUCUGGCCGACCUGCUGAAAUCAUCCAGCAAACCUUCAGCCUGGGAGCCGAGCCGGCACCGAUCCCGGCGGUCGGUGUUUCUGCAGCCUGGAGUGAGAAUCUGCUCCCAGGAGAGCGUCGACGAAGUUCUGGCCAGCCACCAGGCCUACUACCAACUCAGAGUUUGUCAGGAGGCCGUGUGGGAAGCUUUCCGGAUCUUCCUGGACAGAAUUCCCGGGACGUGGGAAUACCAGGCGUGGGUCCGCAGCUGCCAGCAGGAGGCGCUCUGCAUCUCUGACAUCGCCAGGAACUUCAGCAGCUCUGAGGAGCACAUCAGCCUGAUCCACAGGAGGAUGAAGAACCGCAGAGAGAGACGACCAGAGACACGAGCGGUGACUCCGGCAGCAGAGCAGAAGAUCCCAGAACUCCCAGGUUCUGAAGCUCCGUCCAGCACAUCUUCAUCGCCUCCACCUGCCGUCAUCAUCAUCACCUCUGCUGCCCCGCCCACUCCGGCCACGGACCGCACCGGACUGGCUUUACUUGACCAAGAGGACCCGGAGCUGCCCAACCUGGUUCCCGAGGGCCCCGAGGUCCACCUGGUGCAGUUCAGCGUCAGCCUGCUGGACCCGGGCUACUGGCAGCUGCUGGGCGAGCCGGACUCACCGGAGUACCUGGACCUGGCCACGCACCUGCAGGACCAGAUGCGGCUCGUCUUCGACCGACUGCCGGGCUUCAAGGCCGUCAGCGUUCUGGGGAUCCGUGAGCUGCUGGAACCUGGCAGGGUUGAAGGAAUCUCGGUCCACUACUCUGUGGUCUUUGAGAACAACAUCCAUCAUGCAACCUCAGAGACGACCAGAGAGCCAGAGGCCUCUGCUGACUCUGGACUCAAAGAUAUGUUGGUCAAGGCUUUACAGGAGAAAGCUUCUCUGCCAGUCGACCUGGACUCCCUGAACUUCCAACCAGAAGUGAUCACCCUGCCAACACCAACAUCAGCUGCAACUGAAGAGAUGGAUGAGCCCAGUGAACCUGAUUCCCACAAUGAGUUUAAAGUCUUCACCCCUGAGCCAGAGGUGAAUAAACUUCUUCCUCCUCUCACCCCAAAGGAGAAGGAAAACGAUCUUGUGACCCUGCUGGACUCCACCGCUGUCUCACAUGGCGAGAUGAUCACGGUGACUGAUGGGAUGACGCUGAUCAGUGAUGAUCCCCCGGCUCUAGAGGACAUUAUUGAUGAUUCAGAAGAAAUUUACAUGAUUGAACCUGAGCUGUUGAGCCAGGAACAACAGGAAAAGGAGUUGCUCAUCAUCACACAUGAGAUUGAAACCAUUAAUCAGGAUGAAACGGGGGAACUUGUGCGCGUCUAUAUCCCAACCCCGACGCUGCCUCUUCAGGGGGAGGCGGACGAUCCAUUUAUCACUUCGUCUCCUAACCUGAUAUCAGAGGAAGACCUCAGACCUGUUGAAAAGGAGGGAGAAAGUCCUGCGUUUAAACCAACAGCUCAGAUUUUAUUCACUGCAGCCGUUGGCAAUAAGGAGCUGUAUGAAAUCACAACUCCAAGUUUCAAACCUGCAGACCUCACAGACCAGCCACCCACAGAGCCAGCAUUGAUCCCUAAAGACGAAGAAGACAUCAACGCUCUUCCAGAUGAAGAAAAUGUAGAUUUAGGUUUUUCAAAACCUGAACCAAGUGACGUUCUGGACCAAGAAUCACAGGAUGUUAGAAGUUUGCAAACUGAAGCAGAACUGCUAGAGCCAGAGGAAGAUCCAGUCAUUCUGGAGGUUUUAAGGCCAAACCUUGAGAAAGUAGAAGCCUCAGAACCAGGUGAAGUUGGAGAUGAAAUGUCAGAGUCAGGUGAAGCAACAUUUGAAGUCUCAGUGCCAGAUAAAGAAGAAAAGCCAUUAGAGUCUAUCACGGAAGUAGUUGAAGUUUCAAAUCCGGACACUACAGAGACAGAAGCACCUGAAGUUUCAGAGCCACACCAAGAAGUUGAACAAGUUUUACCAAUGGACAAAGAAGUAGUGGAUGUUUCAAUGCAAGAAAAAGAUUCAACUAAAGCAUCGGAGACAAAGAAACAGUCGGUUGUCAAAAGUCAGGACGAAGUUACAGAGCCAGAGUCAGAAAUUGUGGUUCAUGUUACAGAGAAAGACCUUGAAACAUUUAAAUCAGUUGAACCAGAAGAACCGCUUCCAGAGACGGACUCUGAAGAUACCAAACCUGAGGUUUUCACAGAGCAAGGUGUAGAAGACAAUGUCAACAUUUUGCAACCAGAAAAAGGAAUAGUUGAACUUACAGAACUAAAAGAAGAGCAGAGAGAAAAAGUCAUUGAGGUGUCACUUUCAAUUCCUCAACUAGAGGAAAAUCUUUUGGAGGUCUCAGAAAAAGAGGAAGAGGUGGUGCUUGUUGGCGCCAAAGAUGAAAACGUUUUAGAGAGACCAGGUCAUGAAGUUUUGAAAGAAACAUUACCUGAAGUUCCUGAAGAAAAGGGUCCUGAUGUAACAGAGGAAAGGGUUCCCAUAUUUAUGGAGGACAGAGUUGCUGAAGACACCAAAGAAACCGUUCCCAAGGUCAAUGAGGAAGAGGGAAUUCCCAAACAUAUAGAGGAUAAGGUUCCUGAACACUCAGAAGAAAGUGUUACUAAAGUUAUACAGGACGUGGUCCCUGAAGAUACUGAGGAAACCGUGUUCAAAGUUACAGAACAAAAGGCUCCCAAGGUUACGGAACCAGAGGAAGCAGUUCCUGAGUUGGAUAGAGAAGAAGUUAGAGAGGAAUCAGGCCAUGUGGUGAAGCUUCAAACAGAAGAUGUCACUGAAAUUCCUAAUGCAGAUUUUGAGGAUGAAAAGGUUGUAGUUGCCUCCCUUGAUGAGAGGCCGGUGGACAUUGCACAGCCAGAACCUUCUUCACAACCAGAAGAGAAGACUGAAGCCACAGAUGAAUCAAAAAGUCCAGGACUGGAGACAGUUUCAGAACCAGACAAAGACCAAUUGGAUGUUUUACCAGACUUACCUAAAGGUCCAGAACCAGAAGAGGAGGUCAUAGAGCCAGAACCAAAGAGAGAUUCUGCAGAACCAGCUAUUGAGUCAAUCAAAAUCCUCCAGACUUUGGAAAGCAUGGAAGAACUUCACUACAGAGAGGAUAGUGUUCAGGUAGUGGGGGAAGAUCUACUGGACGGUUCUGAUGAACUGAACCCAUCAGUGGAAGAUAAUCUACCCAUCAUACCAGGACUCCUCCAUCCACCUGAGGAGAAAGCACCUAACCGCAUAUACCCAAUCACAGAGGACGUUGACUCCAAGGAGGACGUUGACUCCAAGGAGGACGUUGAUAGAACCAACAUAGAGGUGGAGAGAGAAGCCAGUGCCUUCAGAACACCAGGACCUGUCCAGACUGAUCUACCCACUGAAGCAGCAACAUCUGUCUCAGCUGCAACAGCUGCAAAGCCAGAGGUUCAGUCAGAGGAUACUGGAGUGACCGAUAACUCUUCAUCAAAGACACAAGACGAAGAAGAAAUGUUUGUAACUCAUAGCCCAGUCUCAGAAGCCCUCCCUGCACCUCCAUUUGCUGUCGACCUGGUUCAAGUACCGACACCUGACCCGACUGAGGACUCUGGGCCCUUUGAGUUAACAGAGGACAGAACUGAACCAGAACCACCUGUUGUUCCCCAGGUGGAAACGGCAGACCCUGAAAGCCUCACCGCCUCUCCAGGUGGGGAGGAGUUUUCUGAGGAAGUGGACCAGAGCAACACUCCCAGUAAGGAGUCAGUGGACCCUGGCAGUGAUCUGACCUCUGCAGCAGAGGAAGAUGCCACUCCGCUAAGAUACUUGACCACGCCCACCAUGACCACUGCCAGCAACAGGCAGGAGCUGGUGGUGUUCUUCAGCCUGCGCCUCACCAACAUGGACUUCUCUGAAGACCUUUUCAACAACACCUCAGCAGAGUACAGAGCCCUGGAGAACACUCUUCUAGACGUGCUGCUGCCGUACCUGCAGGCCAACCUGACGGGUUUCAGGAACCUGGAGAUCCUGAACUUCAGGAAGGGCAGCGUGGUCGUCAACAGCAAGAUGCGCUUCUCCCGCUCCGUGCCCUACAACGUCACUGAGGCCGUCCGCUGCCUGCUGGAGCGCUUCUGCUCCGCCGCCAGGAGGCUGCAGAUCGACCGCAGCUCGCUGGACGUGGAGCCAGCUGAUCGGGCCGAUCCGUGCCGGUUCCUGGCCUGCGGAGCCUCGUCCCGCUGCGUGGUCGACCGCCGGACCCAGGAGGCCCGGUGCCUCUGCGAACCGGGCUUCCUGGCCCAACAGAACCGGUCCUGUCGGAGCAUCUGCGAGCUGCAGCCCGAGUUCUGCCCAGACAGGGAUUGUCACGUGGUUCCAGGCCGAGGAGCCGAAUGCAGACCUAGAGGCAGAUCUCAGCGGUCCGGCCCGACCAGAUAGGAAGACGUGUUGGAUCAGACGGGACCAGAGAACGUGAAUAGGUACUGGUUCUGACUCGCCAGAGCUUCAGAGGAUCAGCAUCGACCCGACUGAAUCGGGUCAGAACCGACGAGCCCGUCUGAUGUAUUGGGACAUCGGGUCUGCAGCUGGUCAACUUCAACUGAAGGUCCAUCACCGCUGGGUUUAGACCCGGACUUUGACUAGGCCAUUGCAGAACCUCGACUGUCUUGUUUUCAGCCGUUCUGACCCGGUUCUGCUGCGUUUGGGAUCCGAGUUCUGCUGGCGACCCAGAUGAAGACCAGACAGUGUUCUGUCCCGAUACGUGGACCUUCAAAGUUUGAGAACAACUUCCUCUUCCACAUCCCGCUUCCUGGAGAACCGACCUUUAACUCCCUUGGACACGACCCCGGACAGCCAUCACCCCGGAGACGACCCGGGACUCAGCCCAUCACCCUCUAGGAACCCUAUUCAGGGUUACAUCCGAAUACUGUGUUACCCUGUAACAGAGUAUUUAUGUUGAUAAAGAGGUCAAAGGUCAGGCUGCUGAUGCACCAAGGCACUGGACCCAAAGAUCUACACAGGAAGUUCAGCGUGAAUAUUACCUGGGAGGUUAAAGGUCACUGUACUAUUUAGUUGGAUCUGAUAAACGCAACAGGGGCUGCGUCCUGUGAUGACCAGAUGGUGGCGCUGCAGUCGCCGUCUAGGGAACAAACUGGACUGAUUCCACCCAGUCAAUGACUUCCUGUUUGAGCUGCUGGUAGAAGCUAGCAGCAACGAUUUGGGUUAUUUAGCCUGUCAGACAAAAUAAACAAAGGUUCACUUUUCACUGUUAUUCAUUAAUUCAUAAAUACCAGAUUCAAGCUAAAUAUUUAGCUCAAAAGACAAAUAGUUGGUCUGAGUUGAGCUAGCAAAAUAUUUAAACUGAAGCUAAAUAUUUAGAUUGAAGCUAGCUGCUAGUAUGCUAAUUCACUCACCGACAGCAGGAAGUGGACUACCAAAAUAAAAGUUGGGUCUCCAGAA